GCAACGAUUUCGGUGGGGGAUGCAAACUCGCGCAGGUCCCGCCUCCCGCCCCGAUUACGCUCUCGGAACAAAAACAAAAGGAAAACAGUAGCAGCACAGAGCGUGCCUCGAAACCUUUUAUUCAUGUCACGGUCUUAUUCUUGUAUGUAUACAUAAAGUGCAUGCAGUGUGCGUACACACACUCAUGUGACCGUGCACACCGUACACAUAGCUAGCUAGCUGUCAGGACGCAGGAAGCAGCUGGCAGCGCUGCGUUCCUGACGAUGACCGUGAAGUUCACCUCGAUCGUCCGAUCCGCGUUCAGGCGUAGUACUCGCCGGUGCACGAGUCGUAGCGCUUGCUCUCGCACGCGUCGUAGUGGCGCCCGCCGUGGCCGUAGCCGCCGUGCCCGUGCCCGUGCAGGUGGUGCUGCUCGCGGUGCUCGCCGAGGUGGCCGUGGCAGGACCCCUCGUGCCCGGCGUAGCCACCGACGUGGUGGUGGUGGUGGCUGCCGCUGCGGCCGAGGUGGCCGCCGCCGUACUGACCGUGGCCGUGGCCGUAGUGGCCCCUGCCGGCGCGCGCCACCUCGUCGAUCUCCUCGUACUCCUUGCGGACGGCGUAGCGCUCGCCGCCCUCGCCGUAGCGGUACCCGGGCUCGGCGUACGGCCUCCUCACGUCCUCCGCGCAGUAGCCGGACUCCGAGUAGUACGCCAUGGCGGCGGUGAUGCCCUGGUGUCAGCUAGCUGAUCAGUUCGUUGCAGUGAACGGACUUGUGUGCGCGGUGAUCUGCAAUGCUGAGACCUGAUCGAUCGAUGCAGGAUAUAUACAUGGACUGGCUCUGCUUUUAUAGGGUGCAAGCAAAGCAACUCAUCCUCAUGCAUGAUUCAGAUGGAAGAAAUGCUCUGGUAAGGACGUGAGGAUGGAUGCAUGAGUGGAGCAGGGAACUUGUUCUGAAAGAUACGUGCGCGCUCACUGCUUUCUGCCGAGCCGUGCCACCUGCACGUUGGGAUCGAAGGUGGAAGAAAACUCGAGACGCGUUUUUACACAGACCGAUCGAUGCCCGGGAAUUUCUUUGAUUGAGAUAAAAAGCUUGAAGCAAGCUACGGGUUGAAGGUUGAAGCAAAGUAGAGUGUAAAUGGAAUAACAAAAGAGCGGCAGAUAUCAAGAUAUGUCCAAUAACAGUUUUGUUCAUGACAAGUAGAAACGAAAAGGAAGGGGACAUGAACUGAAUGAUGGAUCUGGCGUCAGCUGGUAAACUACUGAAAUACAUAGUUUUGGUGUGCAAGAUUUUUUUUUUUGGCAUGAAGCAUCUCACUGUUACUUUAAUCAAUAUAUUUCAGGUUCAAGUGAUUUUGCUGCAGCUUUUGUCCAUUGGUCAUUUAAUUCUUUUCUUUGUACUGCAAGGCUGUUUAUUUGGAUUUUGGUUAUCCUGAAUUCCUGAUCCACCAUCCAUCUACUAACCUAUAAUCUGUUUGUUUUUUUUUUAAAAAAGAUAACCUUAUCUAUCGUAUAACGCUCACAAUGAUAUGCACCCCACCAGUGUAUUCAAGAAGAAGAAAGAGAGUCCAAGAGAGACAUUUGCCCAUUUCCACCAUCAUAUAAUAAGUGAAAACGCACAUCAUCUAAACGACUCAAGUUACACAAUCAAACAAAAGAAUACUGGCCUCAACACGCGAGUGAAGGUUUUACUGAUUUAACACCAUUUAUGUUCAGUUAGGCGACCACUGUCACUUUUUUAUGCAUCUGCAGAAAAACAUGUUCUUCUUUUCCCCUUUUGAGGAACAGCAAUAAACAUGUUAAUACGAGUUACACUAGAUAUCCAGAUCGACGUGUCAUUUGAGUUUUGUGUAUCCAUGAUCCAUGCUUCAAGCUCUAGUUACUAUACACUAUGGUCCUCUAAUAUUCAGAUCAUGAGCUAUAGUGCAAAACCAUUUUGCUGCGUAGAGUUAGAUCUUCCCAUUCAACCAAAGCAGGCAUUUUUGCAGGUUUCUGUAUGUCACCUGCUCCAGAAUUUAGGUUGAAGCAGAGCAACAUUGGCCCUCGAUUCGGUUUAUUUUUUAUUGACAAUCCAUGAAUUGUGGUGUUAUCACCACCAUGGUGCUCCUUUGGCGCGGCGAUACUGAACUGGAACUGGAAGCAUUUCCGUGCAAGGAUGCGCAACCGUACAGUUGCAUGCCUGGUGAAUGCGCCACGUGUACGGUACACGUUACAAUCUUUGAGUACAACAAUCUACCUGGAUGUGGUCCGAUUCACAUCACAAGCUUUUAUUCAUUUAGAUCACAAGCUUAUUAUUUUCGUAGUUCGUACACAGGCUGCGUGCAUGCACACACACCACCGUCAAAGUACGUACACACAUACAUACCCGGCCGGCCGGAUACGGUAUACGCAAACUUAUACUAGCAUCGUACAUAUGGGGGAGCACACACGCGCAUACGUGACACGUGGCUCAGAUCCAGCAGAUACGUGUUCGUUGAUGGAGCUCGCGUGAAGCCGGUUAGUCGUCGGCCCUGACGGCGAAGUUCUCCUUGCGCUCGUGGAACUCGCCGGUGCGGGUGUUGAUGUCCUCCUCGAACUUGCUCUCGCGCGCCUCGAAGUGGCCGUGGUGGCGGCCGGUGCGCGAGACCUUGUCGACCUCCUCGAACUUCUCCUUGACGACGUGCUGCUGGACGCCGCCGUGGCGGCCGAAGCCGGCCGGGCUCGCCACCGACCUCACCUCCUCCGAGCUGUAGUCCACCUCCUGGUAGUGAGCCAUUGGCGAUGCUUGGGGUUUGGGUGUUGGGUGUAGUGCCUGUGACUUGAAAGUGCUUGUGAAUUGUAUGGGAUGACUUGUGUGCUGGAUGCUAGGGUUGGGGCCGGGGUGCGCUUUUAUAACGCCUGGAAUGAAGCGCAUGAGUGGAGGGAGGAAUAAUCGGUGCGAAAGAAACCUGUGUGCAGCUGCUUUAUUGAUUAUUGUGUGUUUUUUCUUCGCUUUUUACCGUUCAUCUAGAGGAAGUGUUUGGACUGUACUGGCCAAGUUGAUGUUAGGAUGUCUAGGGCAUUUUUAAGUGCAAUUUACAUGUUCAUAUAAAGUUCAAUUGUAUUCUAAUUAACAUCAUAUAUGCAGUUCCAUUGUGUUGGGAUAUUUGUGUGUACUGUGUUUUCAAAAAAGAACAAAUAUUUGUAAGGAGUCAUCGAAGAGCUAUAGUCACCCUGCGGGCUGGGGCUAGUGUGCAAAAGGAAAAACAAGACAUGUAUUAUGAAAAAUAAGAAGAAGAAAAGACAGACAUAGGUACGCAGUGCAUAUAAUCAUUAAAAUCAGCUGCUUGUUAUAAAACGUGAGUUCAAUUCCAUUAAAAAGGGAAAAACGGAUAUGCAAUUAGCAAGCAAAAAAGUUCGGCUCAUCUCAAAUCCUCUUCUUCUUAUUAAGUCACCUUGGACAGAAGAAGUCACCGGCCGCGUUAGGUAAGAAUAUACUUAUCAGUUGUCAAGUCGGAAUAUAUACUUGCGUCUCGGCCUGCACCUCGUUUCACUUCACCAUGGAUGGAGACCGCAAGACGCCAUAGCCGCACCGGACAGCGCGUUGCUUGUAUGUGAAAAAGAAUCACAAUUCCUUCAUCCAUGUCCAUAACAAGGAGGGAAAGGGGAGGUGCGUAUAAGGUGUAUGGAUAUGUUUACUACAGUUUGUAAAAUGUGUUUGGAAAACUAAGUGAUUAUAUUGUUUACACUUGUUACUCUAUCAAAAUUCCUUGGUUUAUAUAAGCGGUAAUAUUCACCAGAAACGUUAAACUAAAAUUUUUCAAUCUUACUAUUGCUAAUUGAAGAUUCCUUUUUGAAAACUUCACGUUAAUCCUCACGUGAAGCGUUAGAAAAAAAAUAAAUUUUAGAAAUUUUUAUAAAAUUCAGAAAUAUCGGACCAUCAAUUAGGUAGACCCUAAUCAUCUUAGCCAUUAGAUCUAUUAUGCUUUCUAAGAAAUUACCCACCUCUACCAUUAUAAAAUAGUCUAAGGUAUAUAUGUAUUGUGAGCAACUCCAACAAUAGCUCUCAAAUCAAAACUCCCAAAGGUGAAAUGGGGUUCUCUCUAUUUUUUUACAGACCCAGCAAUAGCCCCGUGAAUAGAGAGCUCCCUAGAGGCACCCUAGGAAUGGAAGGUGGAGGGGAGAAUUUGGAGACCUCAUCAAAAUAGAAAGCUUACUAGAGGGUUCUGCUGAAGUGCAAUUUUUUUACUUGACCCUCUAAACUUGGGUUAGGGGGUAUUUAGAGCUACGUGGAGUUGCUCUUAGAAUAUUUACGAAUGAGGGACAACGCAAAGUUAUUAGCUACAGAUCCUAAUGUUUUUUUUAAAAAAACUAAUACUUAAGUCUUUCAAACUAUUAGCACCAGCGGGAGUACAAGUUGAUGUUUCAUAUAAUUUUAAUAAAAAUUGUAUGGCGGACCAAGCGUGUACUAGACUACUAGUAAAUGUGUGUUGACAUGAAAGCACAAGCAAAGAUCAAUCAACUGGCCAACGGCAAGAUCAGACUGUAAUCACCUGCUACUAGCAUGGGCGGAGGCCAGUGCGCAUGCACAUCUCAUCGAUAGGCCUGGAUAAUUAAGGUGGUGUUUGGUUGAGCGGUGGUUUUUGAAAAAUCUGCUGUGAGUUGUGGGUUGUAAAAAAGCAGCUGUGCGAAAGUAGCUGUGGAAAAAAUAGAAGGCCGUUUGGUUAGAGCAACUGUGAAACUGUAGGUCGUGAGGGUUUGCUUAUAUACAAAUUACUCAUAAUAAAAUAAUGUGUUCACUAAUUCGCAUGUAAAUGACUAUUUUAGAAAUGAAAAAAUAAAUUUUCUAUGUUUUCCUCAAUCAAAGUGCAGAACAAUAUCCAUCAAAAAUCUUAUACAACAAUUAUCCAGGUAUUGAUUGGGCUAUCGGCCAAUUCAACAAAGCAAUUGGUCCACAAUAGCUACUACUUGUACUCUCUCCUAGCAGCUAAAACAUCAGCAUCCUUCGGAACAAAUUCUGUUGCCACGUCGAUCCAAAUUCCCCAUCCUUUUCAGGGGUUCACUUCUUGACAAGAUCAGAUGCUUGAGUCGGUUGAAAUGUACCUAGUUAAUCCAAUACGACGCAUCAUAUUUCACUCAUGCGCCAUGCUCUUGCCGACGAUGCCUUUACCCUGCAAAUGCUCCAUCUUCAUCAUUUCCCCGGUGGACACCACUGUGGGCAAUGCAUCGCAGGAGGAUCCUUUAUGCCUCUCCCCGUAUCGGCACUAGUGUCAACCCCGAACCACCUCGCCACCCCGAGCAACACCAGGGCCGCAACGGCAUCCACGAUGUGCACAGACAGGGAUAGGUCCAUGACGGAGACGGCCCUUAGCCUUGCCUCCUCCACCUUGCAUCGCGUGGCGGGUGUCGUGGUGCCACCGGUGUCCAGGAGGCGGUGGCACCCCGCGGGCACGCAUGCGUCGACGUAGAGGCUGAGCCCAGUCUGCGCCGCCUAGAGCCCACCCACGGCGCCCACGCAAGCGAGCCCCGCCUCGACGACGAAGUGGGCUGCCGCCGCCACCGUGCCCCUCGACGCGGAAGCGGAGAGUGAUGAGGUGAGGGAUGUCGCGGCGGCGACGAGGAGGAGGAGGUGCGUGACGGGGUGCGGGGGGCGGCAGGCAGCGACCGGCGGUUGGGUGGGGGCGCCUAGUGUGGGAGUUGGACGGGUGCGCCUAGUGCAAAGUCUGACAGAAAUAGAACGGUGAAAACAAACCGAUAUCUCAUAAUCAGUGGUAGGUGGGUAAUUUUUUACCCCAAAAGCAGCUGAAAGUAGGGGGUAUGGUGCUUUUGGUUUUGCAUCUUUUGGCCUAAAGCAUUUGUAGCUUUUAGGCUCUUUGGUUAGUUUUUAGCUUUUGCAAAAGUAAAAACCUGUUGGAAAGCUUAACCAAAGACACCUCGAAGACGGCCACACACGAGCCAUGGAAAAACUGAAUGCGGCAGGAACGAAGCUGAGCCGGCGUCCGUCCGCGGGCAGGAUGCCGAUGAUGUCGAGCUCACGGCCGUACGGCCUGUGCAGCAGAGGAGCUCGGUCGGCGUUGCUGUGGGAGCCCAGUAGCUCACAGUGGAGGUCGUCAUCGACGGCGCCGGCGAGCCACGCCGGCCUGUGCAGCAGCACGGUUUACGGGUCCUAGAACGCGCGAUUAGCUGGUUUGAGCUCGCCGUCGAGUCAAUGGCGGCGUGGUUAUGGUCCACGAUCCAGGCCGGGUGGCCAGCGGCGAGAGGCGCCUGACCCCGGAAGAUGUGACGAACCCUUACCGGCGCCUUGAUUGCCUAAUCCGCAAUGUUAGGAGUUGCAAAGUUGGUCAGCUAAGAAGAUUGGCUCCAUUCGGCUGCACUUCUCGUCGCCAAGGAGGUUAUCCUGCAGCUGGACCGGGCACAAGAGCUGUGUUUGCUAUCAGAAGAGGAACGCGAGCUGCGGAGACAGCUAAAGGUACAACUCUGGGCCUCGCUUCACUGGAACGAACAAUCGCCAGAUAGCGGUCGCGCGUCCUCUACCUGAGCGAAGGGGACGCGAACACGAAGUUCUUCCACCUGCAUGCAAAUGGUCGGCGACGAAAGAACCACAUCACUAAACUACAGACAGGGAAUGGCAUGGUGUACACAGCAGAGGAGAUGGCUGACAAGCUCCACACCUACUUCGAUGGAGUUCUUGGACAGGAUCACAGGAGAGGGAUAGGCAGACCACGCUGAACCUGGAGGCAUUGGGGAUCUUCCCGAGAGAACUCCCUGGCCUGGAGGAGCCAUUUACUGAGGAUGAAGUGUGGCAAACAAUCCGGGCCAUGCCGCCGGACAAGUCGCCGGGGCCAGACGGUAUGACGGCGGCGUUCUAUCAAUCAACCUUGUCUAUUAUCAAAGAUGAUUGUGCUGAGAGCGGUGAAUGCUUUCUUUGUGGUGGAUCGACGAGGUUUCCGGUGCAUCAACGGGGCGCUCCUCACGCUGAUUCCUAAAAAAUCAGAUGCUCAAGCACCGAAGGACUAUCGCCCUGUAAGCCUAAUUUACAGUUUCCCAAAACUGCUCGCCAAGCUGCUUGCUAAUCGCCUCAGCCCUACAUGAACGAGCUUGUUCUCUGCAAUCAGAGCGCCUUCAUCAAGGGGCGGUCCAUUCUGGACAACUACAAGUAUGUUCAGAGAUCAGCGGCCAUCCUCCGGAAGCGGAAAGUGCCCAAGUUGUUGCUAAAACUUGAUAUUUCGAAGGCCUCUGACACGGUGGCGUGGCAGUUCGAGCUGGAGGUCCUGCAGGCAUGGGGUUUUGGAUCGAGAUGGCGCGAUUGGAUUUCUCUAUUGCUGUCCACGGGCCACGGCAACUACACGUGUGCUGCUCAACGGCCAGGCAGGGCUGCCGAUUGAGCACCGUCGCGGUCUCAGGAAGGAGAUCCACUCUCCCCAAUGUUGUUUGUGCUGGCAAUGGAUGCUCUCAACCGGCUCUUUAACAAGGCGGAUACUGAUGGAGUGCUACAGCCGCUUGGGGUGCCAUGCAUCAAGCACCGCUGCAGCAUGUACGCGGACGAUGUGAUCCUAUUGGCAGCACCAACUGCGGGGGAAGCAAGGGCUAUAACUUCUCAAUCUCUUUGGAGAUGCAUCAGGAUUGCAAACGAACUUAGAAAAGUGUUCAAUCACACCAAUCUACGGCUGUGAAGAAGUGCUGGAGAGCUUACAGCCAGUGAUGCCAUGUGCAAUCAAGGAGUUCCCCAUCACGUACUUGGGAGCGCCACUGUCUGUCAGAGCAUUGCCAAAAUCUCAGUUUAUGCCGAUUGUUGAGGAGGUUGCAGCAAAAUUACCAGCUUGGCAGGGACCCUUAAUGAAUAAGAGUGGACGCCUCACCCUUGUGAAGUCCACCCUCUCUACAAUGCCCAUUUACUUGAGCAUGUCUGACAAGAUGCCAAGAUGGGCUCUCAAGGAGUUGGACAGUAUCAGGCGAAACUUUCUGUGGAAUGGCACUGACAGGGCAGUAAGAGGGAAGAACGCAGUGGCCUGGCCAACUGUCUGCCGGCCUACAUGCUACGGAGGGCUCGGGGUGAUCGACUUCAAGCUAGCUGGCUUUGCCCUACGGACGCGUUGGCUCUGGCUACAGAAAACGGACGACGAGCGUUCGUGGGCUGCAGUACAAAUCAAGGUGCAGCCGGAGGUUCGCGCAUUCUUCAGCGCCUCUGUAACGGUGACUGUACGCAAUGGAGAGAGAAUUAUUCUGGUUAGACAACUGGAUUGAUGGGCAACCCGUCUCCCACCUGGCGCCUAACCUCCUUCAGACGGUGCCUGCACGAGUGAGGAACGGCAGAACGGUGGCGCGAUCGUUGCCGGAGCGGAGAUGGACGCAAGACAUUCGAGGACGUCUGUCAGUACAGGUACUGGUGGAAUACAUAAACCUUUGGGAGCGCAUCUCCGACUGACAGCUCAUGGAAGGUGCGGGACGUUUGCCGCUGGCGAUGGACCGUCGAUGGCAGCUACACGGCAGCUUCUGCAUAUCUCAAAAUGCACGAGGGAAGCAUCAAACUACGAGGUGCGUCGAGAAUUUGGAAGAAUUGGGCGCCGCCGAGGGUCAAGUUCUUUUCCUGGCUAGCAACGAAGAAGCGCAUAUGGACAGCUGACCGCCGCCGCCGGCAUGGGCUGGAUGCUCAUGACAAAUGUUGGCUCUGCGAUCAGGAACUGCAGACCACAUCUUGGUCAGCUGUGCCUACGCCAAGCAAAUUUGGUGGAAAGUCACGACGACGAUGCAUUGCAGCUGCAGUUUUUCCGCAGGGCACAUUCCAUGCAGAGCUGGUGGGCAAAUCUAAGGAAACAGCAGCCGAGAGCGAAGAGGAAGGGCUUUGACACCCUAUUCAUGCUUAUAAUUUGGAGUAUUUGGAAAGAGCGCAAUGCAAGGCUCUUCAACCAAAUAUCAUCCGCUGGCCAUGAGCUCACUGAGCGCAUUCUGCAGGAGGCUGAGAUAUGGAUCCUUGCGGGUGCUUGGCGAUUAGGUAGUAUCCGGCAUGAGUAGUACCAGUUAGAGGAGGCCUCUGGCCAUUAGGUUGUAGUCUGCAUACGGCGUAUGCAAGGUUUUGGCGUGUGCUCCGUCUCCGCCGAUUUCUGUAAAAAGUUUUUAAAUUCUCUUCUUAAUACAAUGAUACAAAUGAUGCGCAGCUCUCCUGCGUAUUGGAGAGAGAAAAGAGCGCCUGACCCGGCCACCCCUGGGUUUCUUGCAACUGUCAGAUCGGACAUGUGCGGCCACGGUCGCCUUGACCUCGCAAAUAUUCAUGUGGUGCCUUCGCUCGACCACCGUUGUCCUCGACGACGGGCUGCAUGCGCUCCGAGCCUCUGAUGAACCGCGCGCUGCCUGACGAGCCAGAGUCCAGUGGCCGCGAGAAUCACUUCUGAUGGUUGCGAGAGCAUCGUAGGCAGGUGUGGUGCUUAUCUCGCGAGAUAACAGAAGCGGCACGGUGCGGCGGUGCCAUUGCCGGCCGGCGCGGUCCUAGGCGUUCUGACUUCUGCGGCGUGUCUGCCUGCGGCGAAGGCGAGGGCCAUCGCGAUUACGAGUAGGAUGCUGCUACUGCUAGAGAGUGUUGGGCGCGCGGCACCGUGGCUGACUUCGGCCGCAACGUUGGCUCGGACGCCACGGCUGCUGUGCUGCCUCAGCUAGCCAGCGUGCGCUCGCCGUCGCCGGCGCCAUCGACGGCACCAAAGGCAAUCGAUGCUGACGCCCGCCAGCAGCACACCGGCAAUUGCAAGUCUGUCAACCGUCGCAGGGGAAUAUUUGCGCCGCCGGCCGCUGCCUCCUUGGGCGCUGCGCCGCGCAUCGGAGCGGCGGAGCCCAGCGCGUCGUCGAGGACUGCAGUCAAGCGAGGAAGGCGGAAAAGUCUAGCUCCAUUGACUUGAUCGCUGCCGCCCACGUGAGAUCCAACGGUCUAAAUAGGCCCAGAGUGGACGGUAAAUGAAAUACCGUCCACCCCCGUGUCUCUCUUCCACCGCGCGUCGAGCUCCGAUGACGAUCCGCGCGCCGCCCAACUUGGCAGAGUCCGGUAGCCGCAAGAAUCUUCGCCGACGAUGGUUGUGAGGACACGAGGGAGAUGCUUAUCUCACCGUACCAGAGAAGUGGAACGAUACGGUGGUGCCGUGGCUGGCGCAGCCCAGGCGUUGUGACUUCUGCGGCGUGGCUGGCUUCGACCGCCCGCGAUCAGGGAGAGACUCAAUGACGCGGUGGCAUCCAUGGGUAGAGCACCGCCGACGAGCGCUCGCGAGAACCCCGUGGACGGCGCCAAUGUCGAUUCGGAUGCCUCGGCAAGGUCACUGGCGCCGAUGCAUGGACGGCUACAGCCUACAGCCAUCAUCACAAUGCAAGGACGGCAAGGAGGCUGCCAGUUCUGGGGUUUGGGGGCAAACGUUUUUUGCCCCCAAACGAAUCGAAUGUUCACUUUGGAGUUGGGUCGGCGCAGCAAUAUACAUGCACGUAGUACACGGAGAAGCUUUAUUCAGGUCACGAGCUUAUUUUCGUAGUACGUACAGAGGCUGCGUGCAAGCACGCCAGCAAAGUACGUGGAUAAGGUAGACCUCGCACACACAAACUUACAAUUUCAUACAUACGGAGGACAUGCACAUACACGUACGCGAUACCUGCCUCCGGCCCAAUCCAGAUACGUGCGUCGUCGUCGAUCGAGCCCGCGUGAAGCCGAUCUCAGUCGGACCUGACGACGUAGCUCUCCUUGCGCUCGUGGAACUCGCCGGUGCAGGUGUUGAAGUCCUCCUCCACCGUGGUCUCGCGCAUCACGAAGUUGCCGGAGCCGUGGCCGUGGCCGUGGUGGCCGUGGUGGCCGUGGUGGCCGUGGUGGCGGCCGUGGCUGCCGGUGCGGGAGACCCUGUCGACCUCCUCGAACUUCUCCCUGACGACGUGCUGCUGGACGCCGCCGUGGCGGCCGAAGCCGGCCGGGCUCGCCACCGACCUCACCUCCUCCGAGCAGUAGUCAACCUCCUGGUAGUGAGCCAUUGGUGAUGAUGCUUGGGUUACUUGUUCAGUGCCUGUAUGCCUUGAAGUGCUUGUGAAUUGUGUGAGACUUUUGUGCUAGGGCCGGGUGCGCUUUUAUAGCGAGGAACGGGGGAAGCAGUGUGCAAGCGCAUGAGUGGAGUGAGGAAUAAUGUGUUCAUGGUGAGGGAGAAAGAUAGAUACAUGUGUGCUUCUUUUUUCCAGCAUUGAUCUAUAAGUAUUUGGGGGUGUAUUGGCCGAGUAGAGAUAAAGAGGAAGAAGUGGUGAAGAGCAUGAGAGUGAGGAAUAAUGUGUUCAUGAUUUGUUUCAAAAAAAAAAUAAUGUGUUCAUGAUGGAGAAAGAUUCAUGUGUGCUUUUUCUUCACCUCUUUAGCAUUGAUCUAGAAGUAUUUGGACUGCAUUGGCCGAGUAGAAUCUUUUGGGAGGCUAGAGCCCUUUUUCAAUUGCAAUUUUGUCACGUUGGUACGCUGUUUAAUUGUUUCAGUACUAGAAUAUUUUGAGAAAAUAACUAAUUCAGACACUAGGUGUGCCUGUUUGUAAAGCAGUGAAUUCUCAAUCUAUCCCAGUGGUAAAAACGAGUAUCAGGCCUCUUGGUAUAUGUCCACAUUUGGACUUCGGUAGAAGUGACGGGUCGGGUUAGAAUAUACUUAUCGUUUAGCUAGUGGGAAUAUAUACUUGCGUCUCGGCCUGCACCGCGUUUCACGGUAGGUUCGUGAUGUGAUGGCGUCCUAAGAUUCUAAGGAGUGAUGCGAUGCAGAAUUGCAGACCGGGCUGCGUCAAUUCCCUUUCCAGUUUCCAGCAGCAGCCAUUCCUCAGUCCUCACAACCCGAACGCUGGUUUUACACAAAAUGCUUCACGUACGUGUCCACCCGCGGCGGGAGCGCCACCAGUCGUACGUGUUUGCGGAAAGUGUCGCACCCGGGCUCCGGCGAGGCCUGUCCUGGACGCGCCGCGCCGCCUGGGCGCCCAGAUUGGGCGACGGGAGCGUCUUGCUCGCCAGGCGCGCGCGGCAGCCGGUGGGUCAUCAGGAGAAGCAGGACGUCGUCCACUUCGGCGGCAGACCAUGGCGGGAGCGUGAACGGACGCGUUCGUGGAAGUGCCCCCGCCACCGUCGCCACCGCACGGUUGGACGCCGGCGCCGACCGCGCUAGGGGCAGCUCCGUGCUCCGUGGCGCUGCUCGCGCAUAUGUACAAACGGGUUCGACGACGGCCGCGCGCGCGGGCAACGAGCGCGUGCUCACGGGCCAUGGCGACGAACCUUGUAGGAGCCAUAUGUUGCCAACGAAGCUCCGCAGACGGCGGCGCUGCCAUCAUGUUGCCGGGCGGCACCGGCGCCACGCCUCACUGGAUGGAGCUUGGCGCAGCGCAGAGGCAGACGGCGGCCCAGUGCGCGAGGGCCGUGGAGGGUCCAGACUUGUCGCCGCCCGCAAUUAAUCAGGUCGAUCUUGGGCGCACGAGGCUGAUCCGACGACCAGGAGAGUCUAAGGCGUGGACGGUAUUUCAUUUACUACCGUCCACCCUGUAACACCCCAGGUGUUUAGCACCUUUAAUUAGUGUUAAUCAUCUGCAAAAUCUUGCAUUAACAUUUUUGCAUAUGCAAUUUUUCGGAAAUGACUAAUUAUUUUAGUAGCACAUGAUCACAUUUAAAUAUCAUUUAAAUCUCAUUUCAUUAAGGUUUAUGCUAUUCUGUCAUUAAAUAUUAAUAAAACGUUAAAGUAUGAAAACUUUUUGCUCAAAUCUAUAUACCUAUUAUUAAAGCGAGUAACGUCUCUGCCAAUUUUUUCGUCCGUCGUGGUCAUUUUACAAAAAAGUCCCUAAACUUUCAAGGAAUCAACCCGCGGUCCAUAAUCUAAAGAGAGGAAUGGCUCGGGUGGAAAAACGAGGGAAGGGAGGGGGUUAAGGGGAAAAAUGCUUCUCUUUCUCCAAAACAAAGAGGCGCAGGAGGGGAUCGGGCGCGGGCGGCGGCUGGAGCGGGCACCCCGCCGCUGCUCCGGCGCGCAGCCUCGGCGGCAUUGCCAGCGCGUGCGUGGCAUCCAGGAAGAGAAAUUUUCGUACGUCGUCCGUCCUCCGCUCGUUUCACCCGUCCGCUUCGCACCCGUAUCCUCCACGCUUCCCGCGGCGCCCUCCGAUGGAACGCACGCCGGGAGCCACCGCGCGCCGUCCGCUGCGCCUCCUCCGCUCCCGCGCUUCACGCUCCGCGCUCAGAUCUUCCGCUCGCUCGCCUACUCCUCCUCGCUCGCUCGCCCUGCAUCGCCGCCGCCGCCCGCAGCUCGCUUGCCCUGCUUUGCCGCCGCCGUUUCUCCUCGUCUCGGUCUCCCUGCGCCGCCUCCGCCGCCGCCGUGCGCCGCCCCUCCGAGCCGUCGACCGCGCCGCCGCCGCCGCCGCGGACGACGGAUCCACAGCCGGAUGCAUCGCCAUCUUCCAAUCCUAGACGCCGCACACCUAUCACCACAAAGGUGCCGGUCGGGCAGGGAUGCGGCGGCCGGACGGAGCGAGUCGCCGAGCUAGGGUUCGAGGGCACGCGCGUCCUCGGCGAGCCCGUCCAUCUCCGACAUGGCUGGUGCGGCAGCUGUAAUCGCCCGCGGAGGACGAGGCGGAUACAGCAUAUGGAGCCCGAUUUCUGGCCCCUGCCCUGCGGCUGCCCUCUCCUCCCCUUGUUGGCCAAUCGUGCGAUCCCUGAUGGAGGAGAAGGCUCUGGCUUCCAUAACCUCCAUGGAAAGAGAUCGACGGCGGCUCUGGUGGACGCGGCCCCAUCACCGAGUGGAUGAGGCAGCGGCGUCGCCACCCCUCUCGAUGGUCUGCCCUCCUCCUCCCUAGCAGGUUUGUUUGUCUGUGUUGCUCCUUACAGCCAGCAACAUGCCAACGAAGUGUUUGUUAAAAUGCUAGAAUGCUUCAGCCUUCAGAGAUCAUGUCUUGCCGAUUAAGAUGGAGAUGGAUCAACAACCUCCUGUGGCGGCGCAACAUGUGCAAGUAUGUCAUUGGGGUCGCACAUCGGAUGCCUGCUGCUGCGUUGCCUGAUGUUUUGCUGUAGAAUUUCCACUAAGGGUAUCAGGAUGAGCCUACCAUGGAGAAAGCUCACGGGUGAGGGCCCUUCCUUCUACUUCAGCUCUGAUGCACACCAGUUGCUUGUUGUAUUGCCUGAACAAAAGAUUGACUACCUACUACUUCAGGUCCAUGGAUCAUCAUCAAACUUGGAAGAGGUGAAUGGUCUGCCUGGUGGUAAGGCCAAGAAAAAGGUUGUUUAUAUAUCUUACCAUUAGGAUCAUCAGGGUUGAGCAUUACUGAGAUUGGUAGCGGAAGAAAUCAUGUUCAGGAGAAAGCAUGCCUCUCAUUUCAACCUAAAAGGUUGUUCUCUGAAUCCUGAUCAAGUAACCACAUACACGCUAACUGCCUUUUAGCCUGAUGUUUCUGUUGAAGCGGAAACCGGCAAAAUGUACAGGGCAAAUUUUCGAGAUAAAGAGGGGAGAGCCGUUGUUAUUAUGAUUUAUGAGACCUACAAAGGAGGCAAGGCUUCCUCUUCUGAAUUGCCAUUCCUUCUUCCUAAAAGUCAGUAGUCUCUCUAGAAUGCUUACCCCAAUAUUCACCUGUAUGCUUUUCUUAAAUUUCAGAAUACAACAUCCCAUGACAGGCAAAUCCGAUUCACCUGUAUGCUCUGUGAAGAUAUUAUUUAUUUUAUUUUAUGAAAAGGUCAGUAUUGGUGGAGCAAGCCUUCUGAAAUCUCUUUGAUUUUGAGAGUAUACAUUUCUGCUAAAUUCAUCUCAUCUAUUGUCCAUCUGACAGUUAAGAACUCUUUUGCAACAAGUUGUUCUUUACCUGGAGCUGUAUGUAAGUACACUCUGAAUUCUGAAGCUUACUGUGCCAUAUCCAGGUGUGUGAUGCUGCCACAAAAUGAUAAUCUGCAUUAGUAAUGCAUAAUACGUAUUGGGGCACCUAGACCAGUGGUAGACCAUUCUUUCAUUCAUGUUUUAAUACGAUGAAGAUUGACGCUAUCUUCAUAUUAUGGGUUGUUAGCAUGUAUGCUACCAAAUUCCUUCUUGCCUCUUGGACUGUUAAGAGAAACCAUGGGCUCUUGGAUUGGAGGCCAGAUCCUGCUGCAGCAAGCAGCUCAGGUAAAAAGAGGCAUGAGUGCUUUUUCUUCGGUUCGGAACUUUAGUUUCAUGCCAUUUGAAAUGUUAGAUUUUCAUUAGAGUAUGCAGAGCCAAUCAUUUUUUUGAAGAAUUCAAAUCAGCCACUCAGAAUUUCUGCUGUAAUGGAGGAGUUUUGGCCACAACGAAAGAUUACAUGCAUGUCUAUUUCCUUGCUGUUGCUGUAUGGUCUUAUGGGGAAGUUUGACUAUUAGGCAAUAAUGGUCAACUAAUAGUACAAUAGUAUUUGGAAGAGCGACUGUACAUGAAUCGAUAGUAUGCAUCAUAGAAGAGCAACUGCAUACAUGAAUCUUAGGCUGUUACCAAGAUCGCUGAAAUUUUGUAUUUGGAAAAUUGCAGUAUUCCAAAGAAAUAUUAAUACAAUAUUUAAGUACGUGAAUUAACUAUUUUCUUUUGAUAUAUUGCUUUGCUGAAUGCGAGGUGUAUUGUACUAUGAAUUUUUCACUGCCCGUAGCAACGCACGGGCACGAUCCUAUAAGAAGAAAAUUAUUUUAGAGAGGUAAAGACCCGUAGCAACGCACGGGCAUUUCUGCUAGUAUAGUUUAAAUUGUGAUAUGAUUCAUUUUUGUCUCAUGAAUAAAAAAACCCAUUUCAAAAACGUGGUCAAAGUUCGGUCGAACUGCUGUUUGCAAGCUGAUCCUGUUUUGCCAAAGUCCCUAAAAAUGAUGCUUUUCCCUGUUUUUGAAGCCUCGAAACUCUCUAACCAAUAACCAAAUCACCUAUGAGCCUAUACAAAAGUUGUAGUUCAAUCUUUAUUCUACAUCUUUCAUAUUGGUCUUUUGGAGAGUGUCGAUGCAAAAGUUUGAGUAUUGGUCGUGCAAAGGUCGUUGCCUUGCACUGUCCUUGGUCGCGAGCACCGCAGCUGCCUCUGCCUGUGCACGACGCGUGUCGGCCAUCGGGCUGCCGGCGAGCUGUGCCAUCGCCAUGCGCCGGCUCCCGCGGCGAUCAACGCACGGACCGCAUGCCGACGCGACGUCCUGCCACCAUGCCCAUGCCGCGCCCAUCCCUUGACGUACCGCGCCCAUGCCGUCGACGUCCGCGCCAGCGUUGCCUCGUCCCGAGCUCCCCACUGCCGCGUCGUCCUCGGCCGUCCUCGCACCACUGCUCGCGCCGUCCUCGCGCCACUGCUCGCUAGCACGGCCGCCAUCACCUCUCCCUUGCCCUCUUCCCUGGAAUGACCGGCCCUAUCCGUCUCCCUCCCAUUUUCUUCCUUCUUCUUCCCCGGCCGAAACAGAGCAGACGGCGUAGCUCCCACUCGCCCGCCAAAUUCGCCAGUUACACCCCACCUCCGGCCGAUUCCUCUCAACCCCGGUACCACAACCUCCCCAUCUCCAUCCAAGACCAAGACAUAGGCGCAGCAGAGCUCCACCCCGACGGGAAUCGCGGAUCUCGCGGCCUCCAUUGCCGCCGGCCGCCCGAGCUCGACCCCGCCGUCGAUCUCCUACCUCCGGCCAACGUAUGCGCCAACCAACAACUAAAAUCGUUCUAUGGUGAGAUCCUGGUUCCCGUAAUCUCCCUAACUAUCCGCGCUCACCAACUUUCCGCGGGGGUUUUCGACCCCGGCGCCGUGACCAUGCCGCCGCUCGUCGUCGGCCACCUCUGGCCGUUUUUCCCUUCGGGCUUCCUUGAGUGAUUAGGGCUUCGUGUCUUGAUUUUGGGAGUGGGAUGUGUCCUCCUCCAGGGGGAGGGUCGCCGCCGGCCACAGGUCGCCGGUCAAGGCCGGCCGGCUCGGCCUUGACUGGGGCGUCGGGAGGCGGAAGAGAGAUGUCGUGGGGAAGAAAGAGAAGGGGGUGGCUGGGCCAAAGCUGAGCCGUGCGUGGAUGGGUUUGUGGGCUGGAGUACCAGGCUGGCCCAAAACACUAGUGUAAUUUGUAUAAGCGUUGAAGAUUGUAAAAUGCAUAUAAAAUCACAGAAAAAGGAUAAAAAUGUGAAACCAAAUUUGUUCGUUUUUUAGUUAAAUAUUCCACAUGCGAAAAAUAUGAUAUAUGGAAAAUGACUGAUUUAUCCUCGCCAAAUAUCAGAAUGUCUUUAAUCGAUUUUAAUUAAUAUACAUAUUUCUAUGAAGCGUAAAAUCAUGAAAAAUUCAUGUAAAAUACCUUUUGAGUGGCUUUUUCAGGUUCAUCACCAGAAUAUGCUCAUGAAUUAGUGAAGUGAAUUUCUUCUUGUUCCUAGCUAUAUCAACAUUAAUGAAAAUAAAGCAUGUUUAUGUUAUUUCUUUUAUUUAAAAUCUUGCAAUUUGGACCUGGGAUAAAUGUCAAACUUGAUAGCCCAGUUUGUGGCGUAGAUGAAAUUCUAAAAUAAGUUCAGUAGCCAGUCACAUGCUUUCUUUGUAUAAAUGAGUAGGAAAUGUUGGGUAAAAUGGAUAACUUGUUUAAUGAAAGUAACAAAGGAAGCACUCCAGAUAAAAUCUGAUCAUCAUCAUUAAGUCCCAACCCUGCUUAUUUAUGAGAAAAAUUAAUCGUAAAUGAUUGCCCUUGCCCUGUGUUAUUUUGAAAAAAUUGCAUUCGUAUUGUUGAUGCAUUGCAUAUUUGCAUAAAUGUAGAUUCCGCUACAUAGGACAUGGUGUACAAGCUCAUGGAUGUGAAGCAGUUGUAGCCGUAAAGCCCAGUAGGAGCACCCUGAAGACCCGGCCCAAGGUCCGGAAGGGCCCAAGGCCUUGAUAGUACUAACAUCGAGUUUUUAAAGGCAAGUCCUGAAGCAUAACCUUUAAUUCAAAACUAAACAAUAUUUUAUUUUAGGUAUUGUGCAUUUACAUUUUCAAAAGUUGAAUGAAACCAUAGAUGCAUGAGCCAUAGGUUCCCAUGGUUAUAAUAGUAUGUGUAGGUCACUAGCUCUAUUAUGCUAAUUAAGUUCGGUAGAAGUGAAGUGAUUACCUGUCACUCGCGAGAUAUAAGGUCUCUGGAUACUUAUACUGGGUCUAUGGAUAAAUGGUUCGUAUGGUAAAGUGAGAGACCGGGCGGAGAGGCUAUUGGUUAAGAAUAUGACAUAUGGAUUGAAAGAUGUACCUCCGCCUAUGUCAAUUAAGGACCGUUCGUUGUUGGCAUUGCUGACCGAGUUUGAAUAGUACUAAUCACAUGCUGAGAGUAGGAGAUAGUCGAAAUCAGUAAACCUAGUACUUGAUUCGCUCCGGAGUUUGAACUCCUACCCACCCUAUAGGGCAAGUCGAGUGGCCGUGGAGAAUUAGGUAUGCAUUUUUUUUUUGUGGUCUCUCAUAGGGCUCGACUGACUAGUGCUGGCGGGGCAGUUCAGACUUUCAAUAGUGGAGAUGGGAACGGUUGCCACGUGUGGCUUGAUGGGGCAUGCAUGUGUCGUGUUGUUAGAUUUUCCUUGCAAGGAUUAAAUCGAAUCGAUUCGUUGUCUCUCUUGGAUAAGAGAACCUUGAUCACUGAGCCACAUCGUAGUAAAGAAGUGGAAUACGGUGAUGAUAAUUGUUGUUGCUUACUCAAUUGUCCUUUCACCACUGAGGUGUUGUAUUCUUGCAAACCUAGAAAAAGAGUUCUAUUAUUUAAACUUGGCUAAAAUACUAAAAGUAAGGAUCCAUUCUUAGUUGCUUUUUGGCAAAACAAACCCUAGAGCCAAAAGCCUUGCACGAUAGGAGUCGGCUAUGUAUAUACCAUACUUGGGUAAGUCUUGCAGAGUAUUAGUAUACUCAAGGUUGUUGUUGUGACCCCUUUUUCAGGAGGCGCCCCUUCUCUGUGAUGUCAUAUCGCUGGGCUCGAUGUGAUGUCAUCCUCUCGUCGUCGUUACUACUUUAGAGUUAGUGAUCGAGUUUUGUUUUCAAACUUUACUUCCGUUGUAUCUUUGAAAUCUAUGUAUUAUUCAUGUAUUUGAACUCUUUUUGUAAACUUUUGUCUCAUUCUUGUAUUGUAUCUUUUAAUUUUAAUGUGAAAGUGUCAUAUUGGUACUAUCUGCGCUCACCUUCAUGUGAGACUACUGGUGUUUAUUCGAUCCUCAUAUUGGUGAAUGCAGAUUGUCAAAUAAACCGUUAAGUUAAUGAGCCGGAUAUGUUCAAAUGAUGAUCAUUAUACUUAGGUCCUGUUUGUAUACGCUUUUCUGGAACUCGCUUAUCUGGCAAGCAAGCUUAUAUAAGCCUGCUGUCUGGAGAAUCUGCUGUCUGAAUAAGCAGGGUGUUUGGCAAUCCUGAUUAUUUUGUAUCGAUUGUCUGUUCUGGUUGGUAAAUUGACCUGAAUGCCCCUAAGGCUGAUAAUAGCUCAUUUUUAUUGUGAAUCUGAGGAGAAGACAUUUCUAAUACCUUUGGAGUUUGUUAAAUAGAAAUUACAUUACAAUAAUACAAAAUUCAUAUAAUAGCAAAUACUUUACAAUAUAUCCUAUAGUUUUUGAAUACAGGGCUCAAUUGACUGCUAGACUAUAAUGCAGAUGAAUGUUGACCUAGAAGUGCAUUGCUUGUGCAUUAUUGCUCCUUUCUUUUGGUUUCACAAGAAAUAGAAAUUUAGAGUACUUUCUAAUGUGUUUUGGGUUAUACUGAUUAUUGACCACCAACAUGCCCAAGCCGCCAGGGGCCAAGCCAGGCGGUGGGGGCUAAGCCCGGCGGCGGGGGCCAAGCCGGCAGGGGCCAAGCCCGGUGGCGGCCAAGCUCGGCGACGGUCAUGGGAGGCGCGGGGGCAGCGGCGGCGGACAGGAACCCAGCGGCGGCGAUAGGAGCCGGCGAUGGGAUCAGGUGGCGGACGGGAGCCGGCGGCGGUCGCGGGAGGCGCGGGAGCGGCGGCGGCGGAUGGAAACCGAGCGGCGGCGGCGGGAUCUGCAGGCUGCGGGAGCCGGUGAUGGGACCGGGCGGCGGACGGGAGCCGGCGGCGGCGAUAGGAGCCGGCGAUGGGAUCAGGUGGCGGACGGGAUCGGGCGGCGGACGGGAGCCGGCGGCGGUCGCGGGAGGCGCGGGAGCGGCGGCGGCGGAUGGAAACCGAGCGGCGGCGGCGGGAUCUGCAGGCUGCGGGAGCCGGUGAUGGGACCGGGCGGCGGACCGGACCGGGUGGCGGACGGGAGCCGGCGGCGGUCACGGGAGGCGCGAGAGCGGCGGCGGCGGGAUCUGUAGGCGGCGGGAGCCGGCGACGGGAGCUGGCGGCGGACGGAGCCGGCAGUGGUCACGGGAGGCGCGGGGGCGGACGGGUGGUGGCGUCGGUGGGUGAGGGUAGCGGGGGAAAAAUCGGUCGCUUGCCCCAGAAGCGCCUCCCGGCCUGCGUACAGAAUAAGCCGGUCUUCAGUUGUUUCCCAGCUUGUGAAGUAAGCGGCUUACGUAGCAAGCGGGAAAUAAUCAAAGCGUUUGGGUGGACUUAUGGCUUAUUUCCACCGAUAAGCGGGAAAUAAGCGGAUACAAACAGGACCUUAAUUAGAGUUUUAAUUUGACGGUUCUGUCGCGCAACCCGGACGGUAGAUGGAAUACCGUCCACCCCCAAGUGUCGGACGUCGCCGGCGGGGAUCGUCGAAGAGAACCACCGGGGCAUGCUGACCUCCACCGCACGCAGCUGCUACAAGCAUGUACGCGUCCACGGCAAUCCCGACGAUCGCGAAUUCCUGGAGCCCUUGGCCAACACGCCCUCGGCGAUGGCAUGCUAUCAACGGGCGCCGGCUGCUCGAACGGAGUUCCCGCUGUCGGACUGGCGCGCGGCAGAAGCCGCUCGUGUUCCAGGCGUGCACGGCGGCUAUGAGGCUUGGACGGCGACGAGGCCUGGAUCAACAGCACCCGCCUCAACGGACGACGGCUUCUCGACCACCCAGCCCAGCUCGUCCCGGAGGGCUCUCGCUUCGGCGGACUCGACGAACGCCUCGCCGCGCGGUACGCACCGCCUCCGUCACCGCGCUGUCCGUGCUCCCGCAGCUCGCCGCCGCGCGCGGGUUACCCAGACGACCUCAACUUCGAGGCGGCCGUCCCCACCAGGGAACGCAGGCUGGCAUUCUGCGUGCCGUGCGCCGCGGCCGUCUCCACGCCCUCCCCCGGGUACGGCAUGCCCAUCUUCGAUGGCCAUGAACGAGGUGAGUGGUCAGGAGGAUGGUGCACCGCGUGUUCCAGCUCGACGCCGUCACAGCCGCGCGCAAGGGGCAGCCGUUGCUCGGUGGCGCUUCUCGCGUGGGCACUAUGCGCGUGCUCAUGGCGACGAACCGCACGGACGCACAGGAACCUGCACUGCCACGAUGCUCUGCAACAGGCGGGGCUAGCUACCUUCCUGGGCGGCGCCAGGACUCACCGGAUGAAGCCCCGCGCCGCGCAGGGCGUCGUCCAAGCAGGUCAACGGCGGCCCAGCACGCGAAAGACCGUCGAAACUUGUCGCCGCCUGCAACUAUUUACGUCGAUCUCGACCGCACGAGUCUGAUCGUACGGCCACGAGAGGCAAGGAGCGGACGGUAAAUGAAAUACCGUCCACUCCGAGUCCGGCGUUCCUCGACGCCGCGCAGCUCACGGCGUUGCCCGGGAGCGCCGCCGGAUCCCGUUCUGCAUCCCGGCGACCGGACCUACACGUUCCAGUACUCACCCGGGCGGUGCGGCGUGCACCGGCGUCGCCGGAGUGUCCCUGCCCGCUCAACGGGGCCAUGCCGCCCGGCGUGGCGCGCGCCACCGGCGCAUCCGUAGUGUGCGUGGCGGGGGACGCUCGAGCUGUGCGACGACGGCAACGGCGCUUGAUAGCACGAGUGGGAGGCGCUCUUCGACAAGGCUGCCGGAGGCCGGAGUGAUGCUCACGGCCGUCCGGCGCAGGCUUCUUGUUCAGUUUAGUACAUCAAAAGUCUUCUGAACAGAAUAUGUUCAGGUUUAAUUUAUAUCAUUCAGAUCAGCUGCUAUUGUAUUUAUAGACGAAAACAUGACCAUCGAGUAGUUAGGUUUUGAGUUGCUACCGGCCAGGAAAUCAGCAGCUGUUAUUCUUCUCAGUGCCCAGUGUGGAUCAUUUGCACUACACCAAACGAAUGAGUGCGUUCGCGCCGUCGCCCGGGUGCGGCAUGCCCAUGGCGUCGCUGGUGAGCCCCUGUCCUGAAGUUCACAACACUGUUUUGCUCAGCAACAGAACUCCUUGAAGGACCGGGACAGGCGACUAGAGGAGGUGAAUAAGAGCCUUCAAUAAUUCUUUCAAAGAAUAAGACUUAUAUCUCAAUUGCUACCCCAAACGUAACUCGCUUCUAAUCAUCAAGAUGACACUAGUUAACUCGUGACAAGCUUACCCUAGGAACGGUUAGAAACACUCAGAAGAGUAGCGGAAGCAAACGCAAAACGAAGAUUCCGAAAAGAGAUUAAGCACAACCACUGCUAAGCAUGCUCGAAUUGAUUUCUUGACAGAUUAAUAAAGCACUUAAGUAAACCGAUCUAACUGCAAAAUGGUUAAAGGUUAAACAAGUGCUCAUGUACUCAGUUCACUCGACAUGCAAAGAAAAGCUAAUUAGCAUGUAAAGAUUAAACAAGCAAUGAUUCCCUAAUCAUUGGAUACUGUAGCAUGAAAGUGAUGGUCCAUUGAAAGUGAAUUCUGGUGCUCUGAAUUGAACCGUGCAAACAAACUUUGUUGGGCGUCCUAAUGGAGCUGCUGCUUGACUUGCCCUCCGCCGCCUGGGCUGCUGUGCAGCGUGCUGGGCUGCCAGCAGCAGGUGCACGCCUGGGCCGCGUCGGCCUGGUCGCGCGGGCAGCUGUGCCUGGCCGGCCUGGGCUGCAGGCCUCCCGCCUGAGUGGGCCGGACGCCGGCCUGUCUGGCGCUCGUCGCCCCGCGCGUGCCGCGCACGCGAGCACGCCGCCUGCCCCGCGCGCCGUGCGAAGCUGCUCCCUUUGCCUGCGCAAGAACAGCGGAGGGAAAAGAGGAAAAACGAAGAACGCCAAGAACGCGAAGGAGUUCAACCGAAAAAUCCUCCCUCGAUACUCAACGAUUCGAGACGAAACGAGCCAUAGAUGCACUACUCAAGAGCUAAUGGAUCCAUGAAAAAAAUCUUGAAAAGCUCAAGUAUUUAUCAUGAAUUUUGGAGAAAACCGAGCACCUAACAAGAACACGAUUUUGGGAAAGUUUCGAAUUCAAGCUAAAUUCGUGAGAAAUUUGAGAGGGGAGCACAUCAAAGUUACUCACAAGGGUCCUAGCAACAAAAUUCUUCAACAAAUCUCACAGGAGUUGGGCUCAAACACGAAGAACAAAAAUUCCCAUGAAAAUGCUCCGAAAAAACUAGAAAAAGAGCAAAAACAGAUCUUGAGAGGAUGGAACAAGUGAGUACGAAUUUGAUCUUUGGAUUACUCCACCACGUUCGGUUACAAGCCACUCUUAAGCAUAAUCAAAGCUAAGAUGGUAAAAAGAUCAAAUCAAAAAUCUCUCAUCUCUUUUCCUCUCUCUCCCCUACCAAAGACUCUCAAACACAAAUGAGAAGUCCACCGCCUAACAACCCCUAAGAUGUGGCUGCCCCAACAGCCACUCCUCAUAUAUAUAGUCAUUUGGCAAAUGUUCAAAAUACCCUUACAUGAAGUAUACAACCUAAAUACCCCACAGUGGUAAAACUAUCCAACUCCUUGUCGGUACAUCGAAUGGACCCGGCACCUUUACGACUUCACUUCGCCUCGACACAAGCUUCAUGAUGGUACCACGCGUCUUUCGUCUCGACGCCGUCCGGCCACAUCGGACUCACCCCACGCUGCACACGACGUGACUCACCGAUGUCGACGCGUGUCCAGCCUCCGCCAAGCUUUCGAUGCCUCCAAGUCAUUCGCUCCCGGUCCUGAGCUGCCUACUCGACGCGUCUCCGUUUCGCUUGACUCGAUCGACGCCGUCUUCAUCCCAGUGUACUCUUACUCUUCCGUGAACCAUGUGGAUCACCCAUGACUCCACCCGAACUCCUCAGGUCCCUCGGUCCAAGCCUACUCGUGUCCACCAUUCACAGCCCUAAUACAUCGCAUGAAUCUUUCGCUUGACCUUCACCUCAUGCCACCGACCGCCAUGUCACAUCCAUCACCUACACAUCACAAGCCAAGAGAUACAACACACAAGAUAUGUUUUACACAAACACAACAACACAACACACACAACACAUACCUCCGAUUAGCCGUUAGCAUAAUCAAGCACAUAUGGAAUAUGGACUCAACCGGUAAAACCUCAAAUCAUCCGGUCAAUCACUCAUCACAAAUAGACCAAGGUACAUGUCAACUUGGUCUUUACUCCUCAUCGAGAUUAAUGACAACUCCAAUCAUCCGAUGCCUAAAAAACCGCUCGAGCCCCCGCGUCGUCCCUGCUCGGGCAACUCAGGCGGCGACCACGCACCCCCGCCACCCCCCAUCCUCUACUUUCCUCCCCUCGCUGCCGCUGGAGGGGCCUGUCGGAAGCCCGCGUCGGCCCCUAGGACAGCGGCGACAGGGUCUUCCUUGCCGGCUUUGGCCGCGGGCGUCUGUCCCGGGCGGGGGCGGAUCCGCCGGACCUGGUGACCGCGGCGGAUCGAGGUGGCGAGUCCGGCGCCCUUGAGGCUGGAUCCAUGCAGAGAUGGAGGCAACGUGUCUGCAGAGGCCAUGGAAGAGCAGCACGGCAGCUUCUGGCGACCAAGACUGAGCGUGGAGGCGAGGUGGCGGUGGCCAGUCCAGCGGCAUGCUGGCGUGGGAUGGAGGAUGCGACGACCUUGACGGCUCUCCCUUGGCGGAUCGGGGAGGCUGUAAAGGUGGCGGCCAUGGGCGGUUGCGGCAGAAGGAUGGCCGAUGGCACGGUGGCAGCUCAGUGGGGGAACGGCGAUGCAGCAAGAGCGGUGGGCAAUUGGGGAAAGGCCGCAAGAUGUGGCCACGCGUGUGCAAAGGCGCGUAGCGCAUGCGACAGGCCAAUGGCGGCGGUCGGUGCGGUGUGAGGCCAGUCACCCGGCGUGG
rnacentral:lncRNA from 1 species